CCCACCAGUUUUCAAGUCCAGAUGUUAUGGAAAAAGCCGUCUCUGUGAUGCGUUGCCUCAAGAUUAACGAACUUGUCAGGAAAAAAAUGUCCUAAAAGGGCGAGUGAAACUGUCAGAACAAGAAAAUGUCCUAAGAGGGCGAGUGAAAUUGAUGCACCAUUAUCAGGUACUAACGCCUAACUCAUAUCUAUCUAUAUGUCUUCAUAUUUUCUUUUUUGUUGUACGCACCAUCAUAAUGAUGUAUGUAAUGCAUUGAAGAUAAAUCAAAGAAGACUAAUAAAAAACACGUCAAAACAAGAAAAUGGCCU